rnacentral:lncRNA from 1 species
AGAGAGUGCAAAGGUUUGGGGCAUUUCGCAGAUCUUCUCUGAACCUUAAAUUUUCAUGAUAUCCUCAAAAGAUGAUGCAUUCCUUGUUCUGGAAGGGAGGGGAGAACAUGCAAACCUCACACCAGCCCUAAGCUGGCUUUCUGCUGAUUGAAUUCUGCAGACAUCAAUAGAGAGGCAUUUCACCAUCUGGAGCAGUUUCGGGGCGUUUUUCCCAAGGAAGACAGCAAAGAACUGGUGCAUCCCUUGAAGAGGGUUAAAGCGGAGCAGAGCCCAGUUACAGACGUGGAACUCAAUUCAGGUGUAAUCCACCCUGGCAGGGAAAUUCCAGAGUAAUCUUUUGGAAGAAGUCGCUGCUGACUUGGGAAAGGCUGCAAUUCUGCGGCGCUGGGCAGAGCAAGCCCUCGGCAUCGGGCCACGUGCCACGGGCUGGAAGAAAUGGAAAUUCUCAAUCGGUUGUGACUCAGCAGUGA